rnacentral:RNase_P_RNA from 1 species
CCAGACGGCUGGACGAUCGCUGGCAUAAGGAUGCGGAUCCUUAUGCGGGAGGAAAGUCCGGGCUCCAUGGGACAACGGUACCGGCUAACUGCCGGCGGGGGCGACCCUAGGGAAAGUGCCACAGAAAACAGACCGCCCGCCGGAGCGGCCUUAGUCUCUAAGGUCACUUGCGGGUAAGGGCGAAACGGUGCGGUAAAAGCGCACCGCGAGGCCGGCAACGGUCUCGGACACGGUAAACCCUACCGGGAGCAAAACCGAAUAGGAACAACCGGCCAUUUCGGUGGCCAAGGGCUGUCUCACCCUGUUGUUCGGGUUGGUUGCGUGAGGCCCACAGCAAUGUGGGUCCCAGAGGAAUGAUCGUCCCGCCUUAUCGCGGACAGAACCCGGCUUACAGGCCGUCUGGCUCC